rnacentral:rRNA from 1 species
AUGAACGCUGGCGGCGUGCCUCAUACAUGCCAGUCGCGCGAACAGACGAGGAGCUUGCUCCUCUGACGUUAGCGGCGGACGGGUGAGUAACACGUGGAUAACCUACCUAUAAGACUGGGAUAACUUCGGGAAACCGGAGCUAAUACCGGAUAAUAUAUUGAACCGCCUGGUUCAAUAGUGAAAGACGGUUUUGCUGUCACUUAUAGAUGGAUCCGCGCCGCAUUAGCUAGUUGGUAAGGUAACGGCUUACCAAGGCAACGAUGCGUAGCCGACCUGAGAGGGUGAUCGGCCACACUGGAACUGAGACACGGUCCAGACUCCUACGGGAGGCAGCAGUAGGGAAUCUUCCGCAAUGGGCGAAAGCCUGACGGAGCAACGCCGCGUGAGUGAUGAAGGUCUUCGGAUCGUAAAACUCUGUUAUUAGGGAAGAACAAAUGUGUAAGUAACUAUGCACGUCUUGACGGUACCUAAUCAGAAAGCCACGGCUAACUACGUG